AAGUUACUCCCUCCGUCCGAAAAUACUUGUCGGAGGAAUGGAUGUAUCUAGAUGUAUUUUAGUUCUAAAUACAUCCAUUUUUAUGCAUUUCUCCGACAAGUAUUUCCGGACGGAGGGAGUACAUG
rnacentral:pre_miRNA from 1 species